UAGGGAAUAUUGGGCAAUGGAUGCAAGUCUGACCCAGCCAUGCCGCGUGCAGGAUGAAGGCCUUCGGGUUGUAAACUGCUUUUGAUGUAGAAGAAAGAAGCGACGUGUUCGUUAGAUGACGGUAUACAUCGAAUAAGCGCCGGCUAACUACGUGCCAGCAGCCGCGGUAAUACGUAGGGCGCAAGCGUUGUCCGGAUUCAUUGGGUUUAAAGGGUACGUAGGCGGUUUGAUAAGUCAGUGGUGAAAUUCGGCAGCUUAACUGUCGGCGUGCCAUUGAUACUGUCAAACUUGAAUCAAAUAGAGGUUGGCGGAAUUGGUAGUGUAGCGGUGAAAUGCAUAGAUACUACCAAGAACACCGAAAGCGAAGGCAGCUGACUGGAUUUGUAUUGACGCUGAGGUA
rnacentral:rRNA from 1 species